UACGAGGCUGGUGCGAACGAAGGCUGAACGGUGGUGGGUCGUGCAUGUAGGUGUGUGAAAAAGGGAGAGGGAAGAGGGGGUGUAUGGUUUGGGGUAGGGCAAGAGGGUGGGGUGGCGGUUUAGGUGAGAUCGUGUGCCGAUGGGUGCGAGGGAGGAAGAAAAUGAAGAAAAGGGAAUAAAAAAGGGACAAGUUGGGCGUGGUUGGUGGACAGUGGCCAGAAAUGAGGUGAUUUUGGUCGGAGUAGGGGGAGGCUGUAGAACCGGCGGAUAGGGUUAGGGUUGGGGAAAGAAGAUAAAGUAAAAAAAAUGAAAAGGGAAUUAGGGGUUUAAAUUGGGUGACACAGUCAUGUGAGGCCCGUGUUGGGCCACACGGCCAUGUCACACGCCCAUGUGGUUCUCCCUAGCCCGUGUGUGAUUUAAAAAUAUCAGCC
rnacentral:lncRNA from 1 species